CAGGAUUGAAACAACAUGAGGGUGAGUAAAUGAUGUACAUAUUUCAUUUUAGGGUAGACUGUACCUUUAAGACUUAAGACAAAGUCUCCAUUUUUUCUUCAUUUAAUCUCAUGCAUAUAUUAAUGCAAUUUGCUUUGUAAUUUUUUGUUUCCUUUGGGAUUGUGCUUGUGAAAUAAUAGUGAAAUUAUGUCUUCAUGAUGUAAUCCAGUGUAGUUUGUUUCAGUCAGGGGCAAACAUGACUGAAAACUCUCAGUACUCCCUCAUAAACCUUCUGAUCACAGAUGUCAUAAGUUAACAUCCCCCUCCAGCACGUCAAAGAGUACUUUGUGUGUGUGUGUGUGUGUGUGUGUGUGUGUGUGAACAAGCAGACAGGUAAGGGACAAGUAAAAAUAAGGGUCAUCUCAGAUAAACAAAAGAGAGAGAGUAAUCAGAGGAUCAUAAAUCUGGUUUUGUUUGCUCGUGUAUUGUGGCAGAUGAAAAGCUCUUCAGUAGGGUUGGUUUGUGAAUGUGUUUGUGCACGUCAGGUUUUGCCAACAUUGUGGUGACCAAAUGUUUUCACAAGAGUAGUAAAACCUGAAAUCACCUACAAUGUAGAGUAAACCAACAGUUCCUACGAGGAAAACUGCUUAAUAUACAUACUAAGUAAUGUACCAAAACAGUAGAAGCUAAUGGAAAGUCCCAAUCACAGUUGUAUCAGUUUGUAGUUUAGGAACAAAAUUAUUCACAGAAUUGAGAAUCCCAAACAAUUUUCACUAAUUGUUCAAUCAAUAAUAUACUCGGUUCAUUCAAAAUAACCCUAAAGCUAAUAAUAGAAACCUACCCUUGUACCCUCGUUCGAUCUGUGGAGCACACAGGAUCUGAGAAGCUUUACAUAAAGAGCGCAUGGGGGAGGAAACUUAUGAAAUGCAAUAUGGAGACUAAUUAGAAGCUCUCUGUGAAGACAAGCCCAUUUAUCUAACUGCCGUGAGGGACUUCUGUGUCCGUGGGGGAAACGGGAAGUCACAUGGGAGGGGAAGAGGCCAGAACACCCUUGGUAUUUGGGUAUAUGUGAAGUAGAGAGCUCCGUUUGCAUCCAACUGGAAUAAAACCAAUACAUCUUCUGUUAUAGUGUGCAGAGUCCGCCCUGCGCAGACUCCCAUGAUUAAAGAAAAACAAAGAGAGAUUCCCCUGUUAUCCACAAUUCCUCCAGCCAUCUGACAGGAACAAUUAAUGUUUGACCUCAAUUCCUUUUUGACGAGAUAAGAGAUAAGAGAUAAGGACCUCACAAAAAAAAAGAAAAAAAAGAGAGAGAGAGGAAAUCUGGAAUUUGGAAUUUGACCCUAUAUGUAUAUUUUCUCUUCUCCUACUCUGUGCACCCAGAAUUCUUUUGGGCUAAUGGAAGCGAGAAUUCCAGAGGUUGGAAUUGGGUAAGAGGAAUGGCCAUGAUUGUUUAGAAAUUCAACACAGUGUGAUUACAAAAAUUAGAAAUGCUGCCUUGGCAACUAACUGAAAAAAUAGUAGUUGUAAUAGUAAUAAUAAUAAUAAUAAUAAUAAUGUCAAAAAUGCAUGAUAAAAUUACUAAAAAAUACAAAUUAAAAUGAACACUGAAAAUAUACAAGUAAGAGUUUUAAAAUAUGAAUAAAUUCUAUAAUAGUAUAUGAAUAAUACUAAAAUAACACUAUUGGAGUCGUGUUAGAAUUGUGUGUGUCCUCAUGUGCAAGUGUGUGAGUGUGUGUCACACAUGAUUUCUUAGAUAUGGUUGAGUGGUAAUGACCUGCCAGGACACACACUAGUCAAUCUAUCCACAUGACAUUCCUAGUUACAUUCAGAGCAAAGUUACCCAAGCAUCCUGGCUUAAUUAUGUGAGUCCGUGUGUGUGUGUCAUGCGGGAACAGGUCAGACUGAGAUGUUUUUGGUGUCUUAGGGUAAAUUGCUCCACUGAUUGACGGCUCUCUCCCCCACCCAGGGGUCAUUCCAGGUCGCCAUCCACUUAGCAGCAGAGUCCGCCAC
rnacentral:lncRNA from 1 species